CCCGAAUAUCUUGAUGGAUCAUUACAUUUUUCUAAUGAAAAUGUGUUGUCUUUUCAUUAUGUCAAUUUGUCAUAAUGCGGCUAAUAGAUAGUACUGAAACAGUAUAAGGGGGAACAAAAUCCGUGAAAUUUUACCAAUUCGAGAAGCCUUAAGAUUUGCCAACAAGAACACAAACAGCACACUGACUAGGAAUAAAGCUCUUCAAAAUAUAUUUUGCAAGAUCUUCUUAUAACAAAGCCAAAAGCCAUGCAAUAUGUUGUUCAGUCCAACUGGCUGUCAAAUGUUCAGUCCAACAGUGAGGUUUCACAUCCGGAGCUAAUUAAGCUUCUUCAGAUUACAAUCUCCACUUAGUCAACCUUGCAAACGUAGUUCCUGCCAAUCUUCUUCAAUCUCUUCGGUUGUUGACAUGUUAAUUAUUAUUCCCCGACUUUAAUAAGGCAUGCCAUGUGUCAUAUACAACAAUAACCGAGAUGAAUUC